AUUGAACGCUGGCGGCGUGCCUAAUACAUGCAAGUCGAACGGAGUGACGCGCGGGUGGGUGAUGUAUAGCUAAUCUGCUCUACACUAGAGGGCAACAGUUGGAAGCGACUGCUAAUACUAUAUAGUGUAGGAUGAGGCUAUAUUGUAUCAGCUAGUUGGUGAGGUAAUGGCUGCCUAACGUGAUGACGCAUAACUGGUCUGAGAGGAUGAUGAGUAGAACUGGAAGGGAGGCACGGUCCAGACUCCUACGGGAGGGAGCAGUAGGGAAUAGUGCUCAAGGGGGGAAUCCCUGAAGCGGCAACGGGGUGUGGAGGACGACACGUGUGGGAGCGUAAACUCAGUUUGUUAGGGAAGCGGUACCUAACGAAUAAGCACCGGCUAACUCCGUGCCAGCAGCCGCGGUAAUUC
rnacentral:rRNA from 1 species